UACGUAGGGUGCAAGCGUUGCUCGGAAUCAUUGGGCGUAAAGAGCGUGUAGGUGGCAAGGUAAGUCGGAUGUGAAAUCCCUCGGCCCAACCGAGGAAGUGCAUUCGAAACUACCUAGCUCGAGGACGACAGAGGAAGGUGGAAUUCCUAGUGUAGAGGUGAAAUUCGUAGAUAUUAGGAGGAAUACCGGUGGCGAAGGCGGCCUUCUGGAUCGUUCCUGACACUGAGACGCGAAAGCGUGGGUAGCAAACAGG
rnacentral:rRNA from 1 species